GGGUGAGUGAGGGACUGGAGGGUGAGUGAGGAGAGGGGAGGGUGAGCUUAAUGUUAUUGUAAAUAUUUAAGCAAGUGUGUAGUGCUAGAGGCACCCAGAUAUUGAAUUGUAGUUUUUGUUAGGGUUGGGUGACUCACCUCUUGGUGUGUCACAAAUCUUUAAGUUUGUGAUCUAUCUAGGUCUAGAUUGAAAGUGUCCUACUUAAGUUUGUGAUCUAUCUAGGACUAGAUUGAAAGUGUCCUACUUAAGUUUGUGAUCUAUCUAGGACUAGAUUGAAAGUGUCCUAUCCGAGGGGAAGUGGCAUACACAUUUUACAACAGUGGUUGGUAUUUGUGUGGAGUUGGCAAUGUGUGGUUGGUAUUUGUGUGGAGUUGGCAAUGUGUGGUUGGUAUUUGUGUGGAGUUGGCAAUGUGUGGUUGGUAUUUGUGUGGAGUUGGCAAUGUGUGGUUGGUAUUUGUGUGGAGUUGGCAAUGUGUGGUUGGUAUUUGUGUGGAGUUGGCAAUGUGUGGUUGGUAUUUGUGUGGAGUUGGCAAUGUGUGGUUGGUAUUUGUGUGGAGUUGGCAAUGUGUGGUUGGUAUUUGUGUGGAGUUGGCAAUGUGUGGUUGGUAUUUGUGUGGAGUUGAGGUAAUACCAAUUUGUGAAUGUGUACAUUGAAUGCUAAAUGAUUAUAUUUUGUUUCAAGUUCAUUAUUGGACUGUUGAUAUAAAUGAAAUGAACUUUC